UCAUUAGUGAUUUACUGGUAGAAUUCUUGCCUUCCACGUGGGAGGCCCAGGUUUGAUUCCUGGCCAACGCA
rnacentral:tRNA from 1 species